AGAGUUUGAUCCUGGCUCAGGAUGAACGCUGGCGGCAGCUUAACACAUGCAAGUCGAACGGUGAACACGGAGCUUGCUCUGUGGGAUCAGUGGCGAACGGGUGAGUAACACGUGAGCAACCUGCCCCUGACUCUGGGAUAAGCGCUGGAAACGGCGUCUAAUACUGGAUACGAGUAGCGGCCGCAUGGUCAGUUACUGGAAAGAUUUUUUGGUUGGGGAUGGGCUCGCGGCCUAUCAGCUUGUUGGUGAGGUAAUGGCUCACCAAGGCGUCGACGGGUAGCCGGCCUGAGAGGGUGACCGGCCACACUGGGACUGAGACACGGCCCAGACUCCUACGGGAGGCAGCAGUGGGGAAUAUUGCACAAUGGGCGGAAGCCUGAUGCAGCAACGCCGCGUGAGGGAUGACGGCCUUCGGGUUGUAAACCUCUUUUAGCAGGGAAGAAGCGAAAGUGACGGUACCUGCAGAAAAAGCGCCGGCUAACUACGUGCCAGCAGCCGCGGUAAUACGUAGGGCGCAAGCGUUAUCCGGAAUUAUUGGGCGUAAAGAGCUCGUAGGCGGUUUGUCGCGUCUGCUGUGAAAUCCCGAGGCUCAACCUCGGGCCUGCAGUGGGUACGGGCAGACUAGAGUGCGGUAGGGGAGAUUGGAAUUCCUGGUGUAGCGGUGGAAUGCGCAGAUAUCAGGAGGAACACCGAUGGCGAAGGCAGAUCUCUGGGCCGUAACUGACGCUGAGGAGCGAAAGGGUGGGGAGCAAACAGGCUUAGAUACCCUGGUAGUCCACCCCGUAAACGUUGGGAACUAGUUGUGGGGUCCAUUCCACGGAUUCCGUGACGCAGCUAACGCAUUAAGUUCCCCGCCUGGGGAGUAGCCCAAGGCUAAAACUCAAAGGAAUUGACGGGGACCCGCACAAGCGGCGGAGCAUGCGGAUUAAUUCGAUGCAACGCGAAGAACCUUACCAAGGCUUGACAUAUACGAGAACGGGCCAGAAAUGGUCAACUCUUUGGACACUCGUAAACAGGUGGUGCAUGGUUGUCGUCAGCUCGUGUCGUGAGAUGUUGGGUUAAGUCCCGCAACGAGCGCAACCCUCGUUCUAUGUUGCCAGCACGUAAUGGUGGGAACUCAUGGGAUACUGCCGGGGUCAACUCGGAGGAAGGUGGGGAUGACGUCAAAUCAUCAUGCCCCUUAUGUCUUGGGCUUCACGCAUGCUACAAUGGCCGGUACAAAGGGCUGCAAUACCGUGAGGUGGAGCGAAUCCCAAAAAGCCGGUCCCAGUUCGGAUUGAGGUCUGCAACUCGACCUCAUGAAGUCGGAGUCGCUAGUAAUCGCAGAUCAG
rnacentral:rRNA from 1 species